GGUUCGAUUAUGGCUCAGAUUGAACGCUGGCGUGGAUGCUUUACACAUGCAAGUCGAACGGCAGCACGGACUUCGGUCUGGGGCGAGUGGCGAACGGGUGAGUAAUGUAUCGGAACGUGCCUAGUAGCGGGGGAUAACUACGCGAAAGCGUAGCUACCGCAUACGCCCUUCGGGGAAAGCGGGGACCUUCGGGCCUCGCAAUUAGAUGGGCCGAUAUCGGAUUAGCCGUUGGUGGGGUAACGGCUCACCAAGGCGACGAUCCGUAGCUGGUUUGAGAGGACGACCAGCCACACUGGAUUCGAGACACGGCCUCCAGACUCCUACGGGAGGCAGCAGUGGGGAAUUUUGGACAAUGGGGGAAACCCCGAUCCAGCCAUCCCGCGUGUGCGAUGAAGGCCUUCGGGUUGUAAAGCACUUUGGCAGGAAAGAAAACGUACCGGAUAAUACCCCGCAACUGACGGUACCUGCAGAAUAAGCACCGGUAUUACGUGCCAGCAGCCGCGGUAAUACGUAGGGUGAAGCGUUAAUCGGAAUUACUGGGCGUAAAGCGUGCGCAGGCGGUUCGGAAAAAGAAAGAUGUGAAAUCCCAGAGCUUAAUCUUGGAACUGCAUUUUUAACUACCGAGCUAGAGGCCAGAUAGGGAAUUCGCGUAGCAGUGAAAUGCGGAGAUAUGCGAGGAACACCGAUGGCGCGAAGGCAGCCCUCUGGGAUAACACUGACGCUCAUGCACGAAAGCGUGGGGAGCAAACAGGAUUAGAUACCCUGGUAGUCCACGCCUCAAACGAUGUCAACUAGCUGUUGGGGCCUUCGGGCCUUGGUAGCGCAGCUAACGCGUGAAGUUGACCGCCUGGGGAGUACGGUCGCAAGAUUAAAACUCAAAGGAAUUGACGGGGACCCGCACAAGCGGUGGAUGAUGUGGAUUAAUUCGAUGCAACGCGAAAACCUUACCUACCCUUGGACAUGUCUGAAUCCCGAAGAGAUUUGGGAGGUUUUCAAAGAGAGAACGCCGAACACAGGUGCUGCAUGGUUACCGUCAGCUCGUGUCGUGAGAUGUUGGGUUAAGUCCCGCAACGAGCGCAACCCUUGUCAUUAGUUGCCACGAAAGGGCACUCUAAUGAGACUGCCGGUGACAAACCGGAGGAAGGUGGGGAUGACGUCAAGUCCUCAUGGCCCUUAUGGGUAGGGCUUCACACGUCAUACAAUGGUCGGGACAGAGGUCGCCAACCCGCGAGGGGGAGCCAAUCCCCAGAAACCCGAUCGUAGUCCGGAUCGCAGUCUGCAACUCGACUGCGUGAAGUCGGAAUCGCUAGUAAUCGCGGAUCAGCAUGUCGCGGUGAAUACGUUCCCGGUCUUGUACACACCGCCCGUCACACCAUGGGAGUGGGUUUUUACCAGAAGUAGUUAGCCCAACCGUAAGGAGGGCGAUUACCACGGUAGGAUUCAUGACUGGGGUGAAGUCGUAACAAGGUAA
rnacentral:rRNA from 1 species